rnacentral:rRNA from 1 species
UACGUAGGGGGCAAGCGUUAUCCGGAUUUACUGGGUGUAAAGGGAGCGUAGACGGCGAUGCAAGCCAGAUGUGAAAGCCCGGGGCUCAACCCCGGGACUGCAUUUGGAACUGUAUAGCUAGAGUGUCGGAGAGGCAGGCGGAAUUCCUAGUGUAGCGGUGAAAUGCGUAGAUAUUAGGAGGAACACCAGUGGCGAAAGCGGCUCUCUGGCCUGUAACUGACACUGAGGCUCGAAAGCGUGGGGAGCAAACAGG